UAGGGAAUCUUCGGCAAUGGGGGGAACCCUGACCGAGCAACGCCGCGUGAGUGAAGAAGGUUUUCGGAUCGUAAAGCUCUGUUGUUAAGGAAGAACGAGUGUGAGAAUGGAAAGUUCAUGCUGUGACGGUACUUAACCAGAAAGGGACGGCUAACUACGUGCCAGCAGCCGCGGUAAUACGUAGGUCCCGAGCGUUGUCCGGAUUUAUUGGGCGUAAAGCGAGCGCAGGCGGUUAGAAAAGUCUGAAGUGAAAGGCAGUGGCUCAACCAUUGUAGGCUUUGGGAACUGUUUAACUUGAGUGCAGAAGGGGGGGAUGGAAUUCCAUGUGUAGCGGUGAAAUGCGUAGAUAUAUGGAGGAACACCGGUGGCGAAAGCGGCUCUCUGGUCUGUAACUGACGCUGAGGCUCGAAAGCGUGGGGAGCGAACAGG
rnacentral:rRNA from 1 species